rnacentral:tRNA from 1 species
CGGGAUGUAGCUCAGUCCGGUUAGAGUACUCGUCUGGGGGGCGAGGGGCCGGCAGUUCGAAUCUGCCCAUCCCGACCA